GUGCACGCUGGCGGUAGGCCUAACACAUGCAAGUUGCACGGCAGCACAGUAAGAGCUUGCUCUUACGGGUGGCGAGUGGCGGACGGGUGAGGAAUACAUCGGAAUCUACUUUUUCGUGGGGGAUAACGUAGGGAAACUUACGCUAAUACCGCAUACGACCUACGGGUGAAAGUAGGGGAUCUUCGGACCUUGCGCGAUUGAAUGAGCCGAUGUCGGAUUAGCUAGUUGGCGGGGUAAAGGCCCACCAAGGCGACGAUCCGUAGCUGGUCUGAGAGGAUGAUCAGCCACACUGGAACUGAGACACGGUCCAGACUCCUACGGGAGGCGGCAGUGGGGAAUAUUGGACAAUGGGCGCAAGCCUGAUCCAGCCAUACCGCGUGGGUGAAGAAGGCCUUCGGGUUGUAAAGCCCUUUUGUUGGGAAAGAAAAGCAGCAGGUUAAUACCCCGCUGUUCUGACGGUACCCAAAGAAUAAGCACCGGCUAACUUCGUG
rnacentral:rRNA from 1 species